rnacentral:rRNA from 1 species
GACGAACCGAGCGAACGCUAUUCGGAAUCACUGGGCUUAAAGGGUGCGUAGGCGGGCAGGUAAGUCCGUGGUGAAAUCUCUGAGCUUAACUCAGAAACUGCCAUGGAUACUAUUUGUCUUGAAUAUUGUGGAGGUAAGCGGAAUAUGUCAUGUAGCGGUGAAAUGCUUAGAUAUGACAUAGAACACCAAUUGCGAAGGCAGCUUACUACACAGUUAUUGACGCUGAGGCACGAAAGCGUGGGGAUCAAACAGG